GCCAAGAUUGGAAACCAGGUCCUUUGACUCCUUGGCCCCUGCUCUUUCCACUAUGCCACACUGCUUCUCAUAUCUUAGAAGAAGUCAUCCAGUGGGGAACAAACCAGUAGAAAGGCACUUGAUCAAAUGUGCAGAAGUUUGGUACUGAUCCUGCGUUCUUCAAGAAUCACUUCUCCAGUGCCGUCGGGUCCUUUCCGACCCACAGCGAGUCCAUGGACGCACCCUCUUCAGAACAUCCCAUCUUCUGUCGUGAAGUCAUUCUGAUAUGUGUAACCAAAGAGUUUUCUUGGUGAAGAUGUGGAAAUGGUUUACCGUUGUUUUCUUCUGUACAGUAAAAACUGCCAUUGUCUUUGAUCAACAUUUUGACCCCUUGAACAGCCGCCUUUGACUCUUUCCCAUGCCACUGCUGCCCAGCACAGGUGAAUUGACUCUCUCAUGCUUCAGCUUAGACCUUUCCAUUAUGGGAAGCCCUAUAUGGCCUAGCUCUAAGCUUCAUCAGUGUACCCAAACUCUCUUGCCAUGGUAAGGUGUCGAUUCAUAGGAGAGACAAGAAUCACACUGAAUCUUAAUUAACCCACUGGGUUAAUCGUUUGUGUCUUAAUAGCCAGGUAACAUAGGUGAAGUUUUCUUUGGUGUUGAAAAUUUUUGAUAUGUGGUCUUUUAAAGUUUCCAUGGAUUUAUAUCACAUUUUAGCUCUCGAUGGACUUUUAUAGCCUUGGUUGCGAUCUGAUCUAAUCAGAUGUGUAUUCUUGAAAAUAUGCCUGUAAAAAUAAUGGUUGCCAUGCUCUCAGUAAUGGUUUCAAUUUUAUUUCUAGUUAUUGCUUAAGCCAUCCUUCGAAUGGAAAAGGAAAAGUAAUUUCUCUUCUGAAUCUGUCUUUCUUCAACUUUUAAUAGUCAUUCUUAUGAAGAAGAUUAAAUGAAUAUGUUGAAAAGGAUUAGAUUCCAUUAUAUUUUAAUUGAAGUGUAAAAUAACUGUCCUUAAUACGAAUAGCGGGAACAGCGCAAACUCUAGGGUACAUUUCUAAUAUAGUCAAGGAUUUCUUAUAUGGAUUUUAUUAAAAUAUUAAACCACCCCUGCUUAGA